AUGGAUUCUGAUGAAGAUACAAUUGAUAUGAACCAAGAUGUUUCAUAUGAGUAUUGUGAGGAAGAUACGGAUACUAUUUUAAUUGAUCUUGUAAAAAGCUUUCCUCAUCUUUAAAAGUAUAGCAGAUUUCCAAAACAUACAUAAAAAGGAUCGCGCAUGGAUCGAAAUCUUUUUCAUUUUAAAGUUAUCAGUUCCAGAUUGUCAAAGUGGAUGGCAAAGGCUUCAAGAAAAAUUUUCUCGCGAAAAAAAAAAAGAGAAUUAGAAAGUCGAAGUGGCAAUGAGGCAUCAACAAGAUCAACGUUUUCAUUAAAUAGUCAAAUGAAACUUGGAUAGUUUUGGAUAGUUUUGGAUAGUUAAAACUAGAAAAUAAGUUUAACUUUUUCUUCAAGAUAAACUAAAUUACAUAUUUUUGUAUUAUUUUCAUAUAAUUUAUGUAAUUUUUUAGACCUUGUACAAAUUUUGGAUCGAAAGGAACUCAUUAUUUUACUGCCAAAAUAAUGCCAAAAAAUACACGUAUUUCAGAAAAAUAUUUGAUACAUACAGUAGCAUCUACAAACAACAUCAUUCCAUCUUUAUCUCAAUCCUCAUCAUUGUUAUUAUCAUCAACUUUAUCUUCUAAUAAUAAUAAAAUAUCUACACAAUCAAUAAAACCAAGUACAAAAGUGAUACUACAAAAAGAAAACAAAUAGAAAUGAAAUAAUAGAAGAGACAAACGAAAUAAAGAAAUCAUUUAUAAAUUUAUCAUCAAUUGUAACUCAACAUCUCUUAGAAAAACAAAAGAUGGAUGAAGAUGAUUUCUUUAGUCAUACUGUUGCAUAUCAAAUACGAAAAAUAGAAGAACUUCGAAAAUCAGAAUUAAAGGGGAAAAUAAUGAAAAUUUUAUAUGAGUUAUAAAGAGCUUUCUUUCUUUUACAUAGCUGGCAAACAUUUGACUCUAUACUUAAAUAAAGUAGAAAUAGCAGAA